UCAUAGUGAUCCGGUGGUUCUGAAUGGAAGGGCCAUCGCUCAACGGAUAAAAGGUACUCCGGGGAUAACAGGCUGAUACCGCCCAAGAGUUCAUAUCGACGGCGGUGUUUGGCACCUCGAUGUCGGCUCAUCACAUCCUGGGGCUGAAGUAGGUCCCAAGGGUAUGGCUGUUCGCCAUUUAAAGUGGUACGCGAGCUGGGUUUAGAACGUCGUGAGACAGUUCGGUCCCUAUCUGCCGUGGGCGCUGGAGAACUGAGGGGGGCUGCUCCUAGUACGAGAGGACCGGAGUGGACGCAUCACUGGUGUUCGGGUUGUCAUGCCAAUGGCACUGCCCGGUAGCUAAAUGCGGAAGAGAUAAGUGCUGAAAGC
rnacentral:rRNA from 1 species